ensembl:piRNA 21ur-4974 ncRNA
UGGUCCGUUGAACAUUUGUCA